ensembl:lncRNA
AAACUCAUGAGUCAUGGCCGAAAGUGCGCGAGUUAAGCUUAGUGACGAUGUCUGCUUUGCUGGCUGAAGAUGUCUGCUCCCGGCUUAGGGAAGCCACACAGGUACAUAAUGAAGCAGUUAAAUCAAUGGCGAUUGUUCGAUGGCGUUAGUGUGGCCAGAAGCGAAUACAUAUUUUUAAACGAGACGAGGCACAAUCUCUAAACCAAAGAGAUUCGCUGCUGAAGUGUCCAACUGAUGUGGAGAACAAGCCUCCAAGGACGUUCAUUCGCAGAGACGGACGAACCCCCGCUCGCUGGUUCUAGCAGUGAAGAGGGCGAACCGGAUGAGUCCGAGCCGUGCACUUCCACCGAUGAUGACAGCUCCCUGGGUGGACAAGAGCAGGUGGUCGCACCAGGCUUAGCCACACCUCCAAACAAUGCUGGCAGAGACCCUACUAUCUGAGACCCGGACUCAGAUUCGUCGCGAUAUGAAUGGAUCUUUACGGGAUAUGUUAGUGCAGGCUGGGCCAUAUCAGGAUAAGGUAGGGGAGUUGAGGGCCAACGAAAAUGUUCGGUGGCCAACUACAAUAUGAGGAUGGCGAACGGAGAGAGAGUGGAGAUACCAUGGCUCGUUAAUUCCAAGCAAAAUGAUGCGGCCUUCUAUUUUUGCUGUUUUUCACGAGGGCAAAUCUGCGCUGGUCUUGGAUGGAACCAGGGACUGGGAAUAAUCUGUGCCACCUCCUCAGCUCGCAUGAGAAGUCGCAUGACCGCCUAGAUAGUAUCCAGAGGUGGAAGGAGCUGGAGAUCAGGCUGGUGUCCAAGGAAGCUAUCGAUGCCCAAGCCCAACGGGCUAUUGACAGAGAGACUCUCCAUUGGCAGACCAUGGACAGCUACCGAGAGAAAACAUCGCUGACUGCAAUGCAGCAUCACAGCAAAGGGAAGAGACCACUCUAGGCGGGCCACGAAUUGAAGAAAUGCUGAAAUGUAUGUUGGACAAUCAAAUUCGGUGAAGUCUGAGCCAUGAACUAGAACAGCUUAACUGCAGACUCCAUAUGGUGAAGAGCCUGGUUCAGAACCCUGUACCUCGGCUCGUAAGUACGCAUCCUGGUGUCCAGCGUCGUGUACUGCAUCCUGGAGCCGCUGGUCGCCUCCAACUCCCUCAACGACCACUGGACCCUUAUGGAGUACGCAGCUCUGUGGGUCACCCACAUGUUCUGGUAUGUUAUCCAGCUCUCAAUACACGGGGCCCUGAAAGUUAUGUUCCCAGUGUCGUCCUCCUCUCCCUUUAUACCAAUCUGAUAUUCAUGUGUUGUGUGGCUCUGUCGGGAGAGCAUGGCGCUUGCAACUGCAAGGGUAAGGGCUCAAUUCCCACUGGGUCUACCCAUACAUAUAAAUGUAUGAUGCAUGACUUAAGUCACUUUGGAUAAAAGCGUCUGCUAAAUAACAUAUAUUUUAUUGUGUGACCAUGACAUUAGACACCAAACGGAAGUCAGACAC